UACCGCAUACGCCCUAUGGGGGAAAGCGGGGGAUCUUCGGACCUCGCGCUAUCGGAUGAGCCUGCGUUGGAUUAGCUAGUUGGUGGGGUAAAGGCCUACCAAGGCGACGAUCCGUAGCUGGUCUGAGAGGACGAUCAGCCACACUGGGACUGAGACACGGCCCAGACUCCUACGGGAGGCAGCAGUGGGGAAUAUUGGACAAUGGGCGCAAGCCUGAUCCAGCAAUACCGCGUGUGUGAAGAAGGCCUGAGGGUUGUAAAGCACUUUCAAUAGGGAGGAAAAAGCGUUGGUUAAUACCCGAUGCCUUGACAUUACCUAUAGAAGAAGCACCGGCUAACUCCGUGCCAGCAGCCGCGGUAAUACGGAGGGUGCGAGCGUUAAUCGGAAUUACUGGGCGUAAAGCGUGCGUAGGCGGCUGUUUAAGUCAGAUGUGAAAGCCCCGGGCUUAACCUGGGAACUGCAUUUGAUACUGGACAGCUCGAGUUUAGGAGAGGAGAGUGGAAUUUCCGGUGUAGCGGUGAAAUGCGUAGAGAUCGGAAGGAACACCAGUGGCGAAGGCGGCUCUCUGGCCUAAAACUGACGCUGAGGUACGAAAGCGUGGGUAGCAAACAGGAUUA
rnacentral:rRNA from 1 species